rnacentral:rRNA from 1 species
UACGUAGGGUGCAAGCGUUGUCCGGAAUUAUUGGGCGUAAAGAGCUUGUAGGCGGUCUGUUGCGUCCGCUGUGAAAACUCGGGGCUUAACCCCGAGCCUGCAGUGGAUACGGGCAGACUAGAGGUAGGUAGGGGAGAAUGGAAUUCCCGGUGUAGCGGUGAAAUGCGCAGAUAUCGGGAGGAACACCGGUGGCGAAGGCAGCUCGCUGGAACGGUACUGACGCUGAGGCGCGAAAGCGUGGGGAGCAAACAGG